CAUUGGUACGUACUAGUAUUAUUGGUUUCUCCCUUCUGAUGAAUCAUGAUGUCAUUAAUUUGAUGUCAUGGGGAAUCAGGACUGUUACUUUGAAAAAAUUAGAGUGUUUAAAGCAGGCUCGCGCUUGAAUACAUUAGCAUGGAAUAAUGAAAUAGGACGUUUGAUUCUAUUUUGUUGGUUUCUAGGAUCGACGUAAUGAUUAAUAGGGAUAGUUGGGGGCAUUAGUAUUCAAUUGUCAGAGGUGAAAUUCUUGGAUUUAUUGAAGACUAACUACUGCGAAAGCAUUUGCCAAGGAUGUUUUCAUUAAUCAAGAACGGAAGUUAGGGGAUCGAAGACGAUCAGAUACCGUCGUAGUCUUAACCAUAAACUAUGCCGACUAGGGAUCGGAUGAUGUUAAUUUUUUAAUGACUCAUUCGGCGCCUUACG
rnacentral:rRNA from 1 species